AACGAACGCUGGCGGCAUGCCUAACACAUGCAAGUCGAACGAGACCUUCGGGUCUAGUGGCGCACGGGUGCGUAACGCGUGGGAACCUGCCCUUAGGUUCGGAAUAACUCCCCGAAAGGGGUGCUAAUACCGGAUCAUGUCUUCGGACCAAAGAUUUAUCGCCUUUGGAUGGGCCGGCGUUGGAUUAGCUAGUUGGUAGGGUAAAAGCCUACCAAGGCGGCGAUCCAUAGCUGGUCUGUGAGGAUGAUCAGCCACACUGGGACUGAGACACGGCCCAGACUCCUACGGGAGGGAGCAGUGGGGAAUAUUGGACAAUGGGCGAAAGCCUGAUCCAGCAAUGCCGCGUGAGUGAUGAAGGCCUUAGGGUUGUAAAGCUCUUUUACCCGGGAUGAUAAUGACAGUACCGGGAGAAUAAGCUCCGGCUAACUCCGUG
rnacentral:rRNA from 1 species